CACGUAGGGCGCAAGCGUUGUCCGGAAUUAUUGGGCGUAAAGAGCUCGUAGGCGGUCUGUUGCGUCUGCUGUGAAAACUCGGGGCUUAACCCCGAGCCUGCAGUGGAUACGGGCAGACUAGAGGUAGGUAGGGGAGAAUGGAAUUCCCGGUGUAGCGGUGAAAUGCGCAGAUAUCAGGAGGAACACCGAUGGCGAAGGCAGGUCUCUGGGCAUUAACUGACGCUGAGGAGCGAAAGCAUGGGGAGCGAACAGG
rnacentral:rRNA from 1 species